rnacentral:rRNA from 1 species
CCUACGGGAGGCAGCAGUGAGGAAUAUUGGUCAAUGGACGAGAGUCUGAACCAGCCAAGUAGCGUGAAGGAUGACUGCCCUAUGGGUUGUAAACUUCUUUUAUAUGGGAAUAAAAUGUUCCACGUGUGGGCUUUUGUGUGUACCAUAUGAAUAAGGAUCGGCUAACUCCGUGCCAGCAGCCGCGGUAAUACGGAGGAUCCGAGCGUUAUCCGGAUUUAUUGGGUUUAAAGGGAGCGUAGGUGGAUUGUUAAGUCAGUUGUGAAAGUUUGCGGCUCAACCGUAAAAUUGCAGUUGAAACUGGCAGUCUUGAGUACAGUAGAGGUGGGCGGAAUUCGUGGUGUAGCGGUGAAAUGCUUAGAUAUCACGAAGAACUCCGAUUGCGAAGGCAGCUCACUGGACUGCAACUGACACUGAGGCUCGAAAGUGUGGGUAUCAAACAGGAUUAGAUACCCGUGUAGUC